rnacentral:lncRNA from 1 species
GUUUAUGUAUUGAUGAUAGGUACAUUUCAAUUCAUGAGGUGAGAAUGGAUUAUUUAUUUAGGUAACUAAGAAAAAGAAUCAGUAAACUACCUAUCAUAUCUAAUUCUCAACGCCAUAGUACCUUUAAGCCAACAAUCCUCAGCACUUGAAUAAAUUCACAGCAUACGAGAAUCAAACCCGUAACCUCUGGCUCUGAUACCUGCACACAUUUGCAGCAUGCAGGAAUCGAACCCGUAACCUCUGGCUCUGAUACCACUUGAAACAACCGUUGUACUCUAAAAGCUUAAGCUGUUAGAGAACGAUGUUUAAACAUUUUUAUAUUUAACAUCACUUGUUGUCGGAUCGUUGGCGUUAAUCAUUAAUCCCAAAUACGUAACCGAUUUAUUUAAAAAGUACAGAUACAACACCUACAAAUUUCGAUAGUGACUCGGUUCAACUAUUCUUACGCUACUUUGAAUAUAACUCGGCCCAACAUGAUCUUCCGCCUCAGAACAAGAUGCCGACCUCUUUAAGCCAACAAUCCUUGAUCUAUACCGACGACUCCAUUUUACGU